AAGAGGCAUCAAAACAAUUACCAGAUAUGUGUGGCAAGGUACGGAGCGAAUCCGAAGUUUGCGGAAAAGUGGAAAUACCUUCAAAAUAAAAUCGUGAAAUAUUGGCAUCCACGGAACAGCAGUUUCUGAGAAUGAAAAAGUAGAACAACUGUAAAACAGUUGCACGGCAGUCACUCAUUCUUAUAGUACCAUCUUUAUGUUCAUCGUCCGACGUAGCAUGGAGUUAUCAAAAACGUCCUACAAUAGUGUCAGAAUUUUAUUCUUAAGCGAAUAUAGGAAGUACUAUUUUAACUUUAGUUACGCUAACAUGAUGGAGCAUCGUUCUUGUACGGCAAUUUUGUAAAACUUUACAGUGCAGUUUGGCGAAAAAUAAUGAUGCAAACUUGUUCUUUUCGUUAGCCUAACGUUACAUUUUCACGGACACGUGCCGGACACGUAUCUUCUAAAGCUACGCUUUUAGCGUGAGCUAGCCAUGUAAUGCCAUGCCCGAUCAUCCAUCGGGAGGCGGCUGACAGACCGAGCUAAUGAGCUAACUAGCAUUACCUGCAUACCUCAUUAAAGCCAAAGCCAGAGCAGAAAGCUCUUUUUAAAACUUUCUUCGGGACCUUGUACCCGUAGUACAAAACGCUGCUUAUAACUGGCGUCAUAAUGUCUACCUUUUCUUUCACCCCGCUUUAACUAUGGCAUGUAACGUCUGUGCCACUUGGAGAGACAAAGUUUAAACUUUAACCCCACCUCGACUUUCACAGAGAGCACAACAGUCCCUGUUUUCCGUUAUGUGGAUGUUCAUUGCUGUUUUCCUGCUGUGGAUGAGAUCAGGGAGAUGUGCAGAAAAGACCAACAUGUCAAACCUAAUGGAAUAUACAGCUGCAGACUUCCAUGAGAAAUUGCAUGCUGGGAAGAUGAUGUUUAUCUUUUUUGAGCGUCAAGUCUCUCCCACCAUCUCUCUCUUCUUGGUGGAGUUGGAGAAGUCUGCUGAUGCCCUGCAGGAUUAUGGGGUACUGGUUGGCAAGGUCAAUUGUAAUAAAGAGCUGGUUCACACGUACUGCAAAGAAGAAAGGGUGCAGCACACAGCUUUUCUGUUCAGGGGUGGAAAAGAGUUCCUGGGUUUUGAUUUGGACACCGUGUUUGACGUCAACUCCAUAGUCUCUGAAGUCCUGUUUGCCAUUCUUCGUGAAGAGGUAAAGUAUGUUCACACAGACACCGACCUCCUCAUCAUGGAGAAGGCAGCCAGAGGGAAGAAGGAUAUUGUGCUGGGCUACGUUCGCAGUCUGGGGACACAAGAGCACAGAUCGUUGAUGGAGACAGCAUACGUGUAUGGAUCCAAAUACCAGUUCAUCCUUAUAACUGGAGGCCCAGUUUUGAAGUCCUUAGGUUUUAAUGAGUUUACUCACUCGUCUCGAGUAUGGUUCCUCCACUGUAGACGUCACAGGGAGUUCCUGACCCCAAUGACCUCAGACCGCUGCCCGUUCACCAUGAUGAUGAAACCUGUAUCCACCCUCAGCCUCCAUUCCUUCCUGCAGCUCAUGGAGGCUCCACUGGUGUCUGAAGUUUACGAUGACCCUUCCUCAGUCCCGCCCCCCCCGUUCCCCUACCAGAAGACCCCGCAGGUCUUCCUGUUUUCUCGUCCUGCCACUGCACACCUGGACCUGGACACGGCCUCCACUCUGGCCUGGAGACUCCGUGGCCUCGCCCUGCUGGUGCUCGUACACAGGCAGGGUCCUUCAGUGAAAACCCCUGAUGACUACAAUGCUGCGUACAGGAUUCCUGAGAAGACUUCAGAAGUGAAAUAUUUGACCUUACACGACGUUGAUGAGCUUCUGGAGCUCUUCUCAAAUCAAGACAAAGAGGAGAUGGAGGAGGCUGAAGAGGGAGACAAACACACGCUGGAUAGACCGUUGAACGAUUCACGUUUGGACAAGCUGGACGAUGAAAUUGUAGCCACUGUGCACGAAAACCGAGGCAACGUGCUGGACAUGGAUUCAAUUACCCAACUAACCUCUGACAACUUCCACGCUGCAGUAGCUGAAAGCAGCCUGACGGUGGUGCUCUUCUACCUCAGAUGGGAUGCUGUUUCAAAGACUUUUCUCCACUCCUUCAUUGAAGUUGCAGAGAGACUUGCAGAUUCCAAGGUCCAGAUGUGUGCGGUCGACUGUGUGGAAUGGACCGAUGUCUGUGCGGCUCAGCCAGGCGGCUCCCUCCCCAUGCCGUUCCAGCCUGUCACAGUCUUCCCCACCGUCUUGCUGCUUCGCCCCCAGGAGUCGGCCCAGCACUACAGAUGCAUGCUGGGUAGUGAAGCGCUGCAUCGCUUUAUCAUACUGAGCAUCCAAUCCUCUCCUGCACUGCUGUUCACCCAAGAGGAAGUGACAUCAUUCCUUCAGGAAGUGCCUCACCCUGAGCUUGCAGGCUAUAAACCUGGCAGAGUACUGGGACUGUUUGAGACACAAGCACACACAGGCGUCUCGCUCUUUACUGAAGCUGCAAAGUCAUUGAGAGGAGUGGUGCUGUCUGGACUGCUGACAGAAGGGCUGGCAGAGAAAUGGGCAGCAGAGCACUCUGUGGAUCUUCCUGCAGUGGUUGUGUUUCCCUCUUGGGACACACACACUCAUCCGACCACACUGUCUGUGUCCGUCUCUGUCGAAGAGCUGCUCUCACAUAUCAACACUGCACUGCUGCACCCACUGCCUGAGCUGACAGUGGAAAACCUGCCGUCCUUCCUUGCUCUGGGUAAAGCCCUCCUCGUCCUCUUUGUCGGUGAGGAGGAGGACGAAAUUGGGCGGAGGCAGAACCAGGCACUGGUGGAGGAGAUGAAAGCAGUGGCGGAGUCAGGAGGGGAGAGGAUGGAGCGAUACCUGCUCUGCUGGAUCCACCUCGGCCGUACUCCUGCUGGUAUGUCUGUCCUGGGGUCGUACCUGGGCUCUUUGCCCCCUCUCCCUGCUCUGGUCCUCACCCAUUUACCCUCUGGAGGUGAAAUCUAUCAGUACCCCCCCAACACCCCCAUAGUUGCCCUCUCUGUCCUACAUUGGCUGCAGAGAGUCGAGGAUGGGACUGAGUCACCAGCAGGGAUGUUGGGUGAGGACAGCUGGCCUCCUGCUGUCGAGUUCAGUGACAUUCUGAACUUCAUGGACAUGCAGCUAACUCCUGAAGAGGACGAGAAGGUGGAUGAGGAGGAGGAGGAGGUGAACGUGGAGGAACACGUGGGGGCAAAAGGAUCGACUGGCACUAACCCCUACAGUCACUCUGAACUGUAACAGCCACUGAUUAAACAUGAUUGUGUAUUGAUUUUGGCUUCAGUUUUUUUUUCUUUUUUCAAGUAUUAUUAGACCACAUUUGUCAUAAUAUUAUUGAAUUCAAAAUUGCAGUUCAUUCUUUCCUUCUUAAUUUUAUGAUUUUUUUUAAUCCACAAAAGAAUCUUUCCAGAACUAAUAAGGCCUGUCGAUCCUAAUCGGUCAUAUGAUCAGAGCGGCUUUAAUGCUGUUAAACGUGGAAAUUGAAGUGACUUCAUGUGAAGGAUAUCUGUGUCCUCAAAAUGUCUUGGAUACUAUCAUGAGAUAGUUUUUCCCAUUGUUCCACCUCCUCUCUCGUAAUAACAGGGGCAUUAUGGGACGACUGUGUAAUUUUUCCCGGCAGAUCAAAGCAGGUGGAAUAGGUUAGUCGGAUUUGUCUGUUUUUAACUGUGGCUGUUUCAGAUGUGGUUUCUGGGACCAUGAGAUGUUUGAAUCAAUUAGUAUCUCAGUUAAAAGGGAACAUCCGUACUAAGAACGUACUGAAAGGUCUGAAGGGCUCCUGGACUGUGGUUUAGGGCAGAUUUUCCUUUGAACUCAAUCUUCAGCUUCAAUUUCUCUCCAGUUAUUCUCUUUGUAUGAAUGUGUCUACAGCCUGAGCAUAUGUUUAUCUCAGCAGAAAUGACAUUGGAUGCAUUGGAGUAUGAUAGUAGGCGUACUGGGUGCGAUACAGAAAGCAUUAAAUAUUUGAAUUGCUAUAAUGAAAUACAGUAUUUCAGCAGUCCCAUGUUUUGAGGCACACUAGGGUUUAAAUGUUUUGUUAAGUCUUCUGGACCACAGAUAUAUACAUUGUACUAAAAUGAUUUACAUAAAAUAAUAAUAAAUAAAGUCAUUAUGCACAGUCAAUGGUCCAGAUACGAAUGUAAACUGCAACUCGACACUCGUGAAACAGCGCCUCCCUUUUAUAAUGGCCUAUAAAUAUCAGUCUGUGUGGCCGCAGACGGUAUUGCACCCUUGCCAAAGUACCGAGAAGAAGCUAGGUGAAGUUGAUUAGAAGGUAUUUGUAAGCUAUUAAAGAAGAAGCUGUCACUGUAAUACCACUGCAGAACCGUGAUUGAACACGUGUCCGGUAAAGAAACUGAAGUGAAGUGAGAACCCUGUCACAGUCUGGCCUCACAGCAACAAAAAAGUGUUGGCAAUACUUAUGAAGAGUGAGAACUACUUAAAGUGCCGCUAACGAUACCAACUGCCUCGUUUUAAAAAUCCUAGUUAAGCUAGCUAGUUAGCAGUCAUGAAGAGAGAAGAUGAGAAGUCCACAAUGGCUGCCAACAUGAAUACUUCAUUUAAAUGAAAAAAAGGAAGAUUUGGACUUCAGAUAAUUACUCCCUUUUUGAGGAAAAUAGGAAGAGACAAGGACAAACAAGUGAUGAAGAUGAUGAGAUCAUCAAUUAAAACCCACUGUUGGAGAAUCUAAGAAUAGUUCGACAUGGAGAAUUUAUGACCCUCACAUCGACUAAGGAAAAACUCCUAGAAAAUCCCUUAACAGGAAAAAAUGGGAGAAACCUCAGGGUGAACAACAGAGGAGGGAUCCCUCAUCCGGGACGGGCAGACGUGCAAUAGAUGUUGUACAGAUAAGGCAACAAAUGGAAAUGUCUGCCAAUAGGUGAACGUGGCCAUUCUGCAGAAAUAUGAAGAGUACAGCUGAGGAAACCGAACACGCCAGCCACAC